UACGGAGGAUGCUAGCGUUAUCCGGAAUGAUUGGGCGUAAAGCGUCCGCAGGUGGCUGUGUAAGUCUGCUGUCAAAGAGCGAAGCUCAACUUCGUAAAGGCAGUGGAAACUACACGGCUAGAGUGCGUUCGGGGCAGAGGGAAUUCCUGGUGUAGCGGUGAAAUGCGUAGAGAUCAGGAAGAACACCGGUGGCGAAGGCGCUCUGCUAGGCCGCAACUGACACUGAGGGACGAAAGCUAGGGGAGCGAAUGGG
rnacentral:rRNA from 1 species